AAUGGACGUUGGCGGCGUGGAUUAGGCAUGCAAGUCGUACGGGUCGGUGUAGCAAUACAACGGCAAGUGGCGAAAGGGAGAGUAACACGUAGAUACCUACCCUCUGGGCGGGGAUACCGCGGCAUAACCGCAAGUAAUACCCGAUAAAAUCUCCGGAUCAAAGGUGUGAUUCCGCCGGAGGAGGGGUCUGCGUUCUAUCAGCUUGUUGGUGAGGUAAUGGCUCACCAAGGCUAAGACGGAUACGGGGUGUGAGAGCAUGCCCCCGCUCACUGGGACUGAGACACUGCCCAGACACCUACGGGUGGCUGCAGUCGAGAAUCUUCGGCAAUGGGCGCAAGCCUGACCGAGCGACGCCGCGUGCGGGAUGAAGGCCUUCGGGUUGUAAACCGCUGUCGAGGGGAAUGAAGUGCAAGUGAGUUAUCUCAUUUGUUUGACAGAUCCCUGGAGGAAGCAUGGGCUAAGUUCGUGCCAGCCGCCGCCGUAAGAC
rnacentral:rRNA from 1 species